rnacentral:tRNA from 1 species
CAGAGGAUAGUUUAUAAAAAUAUUAGAUUUGGGGUUUAAAGAUGAGAAUUUUUUCUCCUCUGA